rnacentral:rRNA from 1 species
CUCAGUAACGGCGAGUGAAGCGGCAACAGCUCAAAUUUGAAAUCUUGGCGGCCUCUGGGCCGUCCGAGUUGUAAUUUGAAGAGGAUGCUUUUGGCGAGGCGCCUUCCGAGUGCCCUGGAACGGGACGCCACAGAGGGUGAGAGCCCCGUAUGGUUGGACGCCGAGCCUCUGUAAAGCUCCUUCGACGAGUCGAGUAGUUUGGGAAUGCUGCUCAAAAUGGGAGGUAAACCCCUUCUAAAGCUAAAUACUGGCCAGAGACCGAUAGCGCACAAGUAGAGUGAUCGAAAGAUGAAAAGCACUUUGAAAAGAGAGUUAAACAGCACGUGAAAUUGUUGAAAGGGAAGCGCUUGCGACCAGACUUGUGCCCGUCGAAUCAGCCGCCGCUCGUCGGCGGCGCACUUCGGCGGGCUCAGGCCAGCAUCAGUUCGCUGCAGGGGGGAGAAAGGCGAUGGGAAUGUGGCUCUUCGGAGUGUUAUAGCCCGCCGCGCAAUACCCCUCGGCGGACUGAGGACCGCGCAUCUGCAAGGAUGCUGGCGUAAUGGUCGUCAGCGA